GUGCUCGCUCCAGCAGCACAUAUACUAAAAUUAGAACGAUAUAGAGAAAAUUAGCAUGACUCCUGCACAAGGAUGACAUAAAUUUGUGAAGCAUUCCAUAUUUUU
ensembl:snRNA U6 U6 spliceosomal RNA